rnacentral:rRNA from 1 species
UACGUAGGGUGCGAGCGUUAAUCGGAAUUACUGGGCGUAAAGCGUGCGCAGGCGGUUCGCUAAGACCGAUGUGAAAUCCCCGGGCUUAACCUGGGAACUGCAUUGGUGACUGGCGGGCUAGAGUAUGGCAGAGGGGGGUAGAAUUCCACGUGUAGCAGUGAAAUGCGUAGAGAUGUGGAGGAACACCGAUGGCGAAGGCAGCCCCCUGGGCUGAGAUUGACGCUCAGGCACGAAAGCGUGGGGAGCAAACAGG